AUGCCAGCCAAACCAGCACCUAUCAAAAAGUCAGCCAAGAAGGCUGCUCCAAAAGAGGAGCCGCCAGCAGAGCCCGUGCCCGAGGCUGCCCCCGCCGAGGCGCCUCCCGCGGAAGCGACGCCGGCAGAAGCUCCCGCUGAAGCGGCCGUGGCGGAAACCGCUCCCGCUGCCGAGGCACCUGCUCCUGAAGGCCCGGCUGAGGAAGCUGCUCCCUCCACUGAUGCUCCAGCUGAGGCUGCUCCUGCUGAAGCUGCACCUGUAGAAGAGCCACCUAAAGCACCAACACCACCUCCUCCAGGAGUGCCCACAAGUGCCCCUCAGAACCUCAGUGUGGAUGAUGUCAAUGAUAACUCAGUCACUCUUAAGUGGAGAUCCCCGGAGAACAUUGGCUCUGGGCUGGAUGGAUAUACCGUGGAAUACAGCAAGGAAGGAUCUUCUGAAUGGGUGCUUGCCAAUAAAGAGCUCAUCACGUCCAACCGGUUUGUUAUCAGCGGCCUGACAACCGGAGAGCUACUUAACAUUCGUGUGGUGGCGGUGAAUGCUGGAGGCCGCAGUGAACCUGUCGCUCUGGCACAGCCCGUCACUGUCCGGGAGAUCGUGGAUCGGCCCAAGAUCCGCCUGCCCCGUGCCCUGCGAUCACGAUGUGUCAAGCAUGUUGGAGAACAGAUCAAUCUUGUCAUCCCGUUCAUUGGCAAACCUAAACCUGUGAUAUCAUGGACCAAGGAUGGCCAGCCUUUGGACACGAAGAAGGUGAACAUCCGCAACACCGACAAGGAUAGCAUCCUGUUCAUCCGCAAGUCUGAGAGAGAAGACUCCGGCAGCUAUGAGAUGAGCGUGAAGGUCGACAGCUUCGAGGACAAGGCUAACCUCAUCAUUCAGAUCGUCGAUCUGCCCGGUCCUCCUGCUUCUGUCAAGCUGGUGGACUCUUGGGGCUUCAAUGCAGCUCUGGAAUGGACCCCUCCCAAAGACAACGGCAACACUGAGAUCACUGGAUACACCAUUCAGAAAGCUGACAAGAAAACUGGAGAGUGGUUCACGGUUCUGGAGCACUUCCACAGGCUGAACGCUACCGUCUCUGACCUUGUGAUGGGAAAUACAUACACCUUCAGAGUUUUUGCAGAAAACAAGGUGGGAAGGAGUGAGACUGCUGCUGUAACAAAAGAUGCUGCUCAUAUUCAGAAAACAGGUAUUGUCUACAAACCACUGGAGUACAAGGAGCACGAUUUCAGCGAGGCUCCCAAGUUCACAGCGCCUCUCAGCAACAGAGCUGCCACUGUGGGAUACACCACGAAACUACUAUGUGCAGUCCGAGGCAGUCCAAAGCCUAAGAUCGAGUGGCUGAAGAAUCAGAUGGUCAUAGGAGAUGAUCCCAAAUACAGGCAGAUCAACAACCAGGGAGUGUGCUCACUUGAAAUCCGCAAACCAUCCAGCUUUGAUGGUGGUGUCUACACUUGUAGGGCCAAGAAUGCCCUUGGUGAGGCUACAGUUGCCUGUAAGCUGGAGGUCAAGCAGGUGAUCAUCCCAGAUGAAAAAGACAGGAAAUGAAAGUAUGUACACAGUUCUCCUGUUGAGGAGCAGCAGGACACAAUUCUGUAGAAUGACAGUGAUGUUUACAGUGGUCUGGGGAGGAGGAGCUGAUGUGUGCACAGGAAUGAAGGCUCUGACUUGCUUCUAUGAUUAAUUAUUUCAACAAAAACUUUAAAUAGUUUCCCAUUUUGCUUCAAAGUAGCAACACCACAUUAGUGAGCUAAAAAGAUAUUUUUUUUUGUUUUAUAUUGUUGCAUGUGUUUCAGGUGUCACUGUAGUUUAUUCCUUGGGUGUUUCCAAUAAAAUAAUAAACUCGCUAUAUUAUUGAAAUGAUAUAUAAUAGUGUAAAUGAUAAAUAAUAUUGUGCUGUUUCUGAUUCCCUCAUUGGAUAUAAUGCUGUAGUAAACAUGAAUCUUAUUCAAUGUUGAAAUAAACUUAAACAGGUGUUUUAAAAAAUAA